CCUGGGCAGGGGGCACCUUCCCUGUCCUGCAUGGCUCAGGGUUGCCCUUAUGCACCCGUCACUGCAGUGGACUGACAGGGUCUAGGGACUGUUUGCCUUUUAGUCUCACCUGUUUUGACGGGUUUGCAACCCCUUCCUCACUGUCAAAGGUCACAUCCCAUCCCCUCCAUCAUUUUGGAUACCAGGUAACAAAAAUGUGUGUGUUUCUUAAACGCGCGCACACAGAGAGCUCACCCAAGAGUCGGUGUUAGCAGGCACUGCGGAGGGGCCUGCAGCAGAGGUGACGACGAUGAGGGUGAUGAGGCUGUUUGGCAGCUCUCGGGGGAGCCUGGGAGCAGCUGAUUUGGGCUUUUGUGAAUUCAGGGAAGAUCCUUUCCAGGCGCACUGACUUUCCCGUUCUGGGUUCUCCCCCCACCUGCUGUUGGUGCUCUCCCUGCUGUGUGUCCACUCCUCCCCUUCGCGCGGGGUGUGCAUUCCUCUGCUGCUCUUGGUGUGUGGGGGGAGGCCCGGCUCUGGAGGUUCCUGUUCCCCAAACCCAGGCUGGGCCCUCCCUGCGCCUGGCUCACAGGUCCACUGACUGGCCCACCUUGGUCUGCAUGUAAAAGCCUAAAGUCAUCCUAAACGCGUAAUAGAAACAGGGGAGAAAUCGUUCAUGCAGGUCAGUGUUCCAGAUGGCCCCCAAAGAUGUCCAUGCCCUAAUCUCUGGAACCUGUGACUAUGGGAGGUUACAUAGUGAUUUCGGCCGGCAAGAGGACCGCAGUCUUUGUCUUCUUUGAAGAGAGGAUUCAGCAAAGAGACCAAGACUGCAAAGCAGGAUCUGGGGACGUUGGUUUCAGUCUGGAGGAUGCAUUGGAAGAAACUUCCUCAGUGAAGCAGAGAUGGGACCAUGUCACCACCACCACCAGGAGACCGGGAGCGACCAGAGCUCCAGCAAAGCCUGCAGGUAGUAAAUUUGACUUGGCUGAUGCUUUGGAUGAUCAAGAUCAUGGCCACAGGAAGCCGAGUGCAGGAGGAGGAGAGAGAUGGGACCAUGUCACCACCACCACCAGGAGACCGGGAGCGACCAGAGCUCCAGCAAAGCCUGCAGGUAGUAAAUUUGACUUGGCUGAUGCUUUGGAUGAUCAAGAUCAUGGCCACAGGAAGCCGAGUGCAGGAGGAGGAGAGAGAUGGGACCAUGUCACCACCACCACCAGGAGACCAGGAGCGACCAGAGCUCCAGCAAAGCCUGCAGAAAAAGAAUUUGACUUGGCCGAUGCCUUGGAUGAUCGAAAUGAUCAAGAUCAUGGCCACAGGAAGCCGAGUGCAGGAGGAGGAGGUUUUUCAGACAAGGAUCUUGAAGACAUAUUAGGGGGUGGUGAAUACAAACCUGACAAGGGUAAAGCUCCUGGCCAUGCAGAUUGUGAGGUUCAAGUCGUUGUGAAUCCUCAUGAUCAGGAAUUAAUCAGGAAAGGGAGACUUGGGAACACUCAGCUUCAUCCCAGCUCAAGGUGAACCGAAGAGUGGAUUGCAUUGCUCAUUCCCAUCUGGAAAUCUAGCGACAUGAACGCGUCAGCAGAGGACGCCUGGGAGGGGUAGCCGCUGCCCUUGACGACAGCCGCCUCCGGCGCAGCGGAAGGGACCAGCGAUGGGCCAGCGCAGCCGGACUCCACGUCCUCACAGGUGACCUCGCUGCUCACACGUUAAUGCACAGGGCGACUCAUGUCCCCCUCUCUGCUCUGCUUCCUCCAACAGCAGUGAUUGUGUUUUUGAAAAUGCCAGCGCUCCUUGUUUUGUAAAUAACCAUUCAUUUCCAAUCAUGGAUGUCUGGAAAAUGCAUUUAACUCGAGGAUUCAAUCCCAGGUGGGAACAUAGCAAACCUCAUUUUCUCCCCCAAGACUCUUAUGUUUUAAAAAAGACUCUAUUUUUUAGAGCAGUUUUAGGUUCACAGCAAAAUUGAGCACAUUGUACGGAGGGUUCCCCGCGCCCCCAGCCUCCCCAUUAGCAGCAUGCCCCACCGGAGGGGGUACAUUUGUUACAAUUCAUGCGCCUACAUCCCCCCAGCGUACUAGAGCAGUUUCCCCCAGGAACCCUGGGCUCCCUCCAUUAAUGAGCAUUACGUCCUAAGAAGAAGAGGGCGCCGUGAAGGGAGUGCUCAAGGCUAAUUAAUGUCCUAAAUGGCACCGGUUGCUUGUUAGGGAGCUGCUGUCUGGGCAGGGUGUGUGUGUGUGUGAGAGAGAGUGUGUCUGUUUCGUUCUAUGAAAUUUUAUCACACGUAGGUUUGUGUGACCACCACUGCAGUCAAGAAAAGAACACUUCUGUCACCACAAGGAUCCUUCUCGUUUUCCUCUUUUCAUCACAGCCAACUCCCUCCGUCUUCACCCUCCCUAACUAACCCCUGUCAACCACUAAUCUGUUCUCCAUCUCUGUGAUAUUUCAGAGCCUUUUGAAUUUCAAAAUCCUAGAUAGGCGACUGUCAGCCUGCAUUGGUUUAUGUUCCAAGAACAACUCAAACUAUAAGCCAAGCCAGAAGUGGAUGGCCCUUAAAAAGAACUCCCGAUUACCACUUAAUCCUGUAGCAUAUCAUAAGGGCGCCGUAUGUGUGCCUAAGUUACAUGAGCGGAAGCGUCUGCAUUUGAAGGACACCAGGUAAAGGGCGAAAGGACAGGAGGAAAAGAAAUGGAAAUAUUACCUGUGAAUCUCUUUGGGUAGUAGGCUGAUGAAAUACUUUUAUGCUAGUCUUUCGGCCUUUUAAAACAAAGCUUUACAUAACCGUGUUGCUAUGAUUAGGUAAACGAGAAAUAUAUUUUACAGGGGACACUAGAUGCAUGGGACCCAUGCGGUGUCAUCCUUCAGAGGCAGGCUCGCCUGGCGUGGGCUCAGCUCUGCCACCUGCCGGCAGGUCCCCCAGCUGCGCUCCUCUGCUCCCUGCGCUGUCGCUGGGCUGCGUGUGAAGAGCCACGAUGUAACACGUUCUCAGGGCACAGUCGCUGUCGCUUGAAAAAUAAAACGUCCCACCUGGGCUUUGGCAGGUGACAGGCAUAAGGAAGCAGGUCUUGCUACAGUCAGGGCAGAGCCCACAGGGGCUGUGCUGGCGGGGCCUGGGGCAGAGGUGGACCCGGAAGGCUCAGCCAGUCGGGAAGGGGCUGUCCCUCCCGACCCCGAGCCGGUGGUCACGGAGGACACUGACGGCUCUUGUCCUUUGUGCAGGUGCUGGCCAGUACGGCAGCGGGGACGACUCAGGAUCCGGCGUGUCGGCAGAGACCAGCACCAUCGCCGGCGUGGCCAGUGCUCUGGCCAUGGCCCUGA